AUCCUGGCCUCUAACAUGCUCUCAAAUUUUCCUAUGGCCUGGUACUUCCUCCUUCCCUUUCUGAAUUAUUUGCUGCAGGGAAAGACCAUUUCCACUUCCUGAACAAGGCUUUAGAGGAGCUGACGUUUGGGGAAGUAGAAGCUUGUUGACAAGAGCCAUAUGAAUGAGUUCUAUGUACAUUCUCCAGGCCAAGUCAAGACAUUGGUGACUGAAGCUCUAAGAAGCAUCUUGAUCAUUCCCACGGUCAUAUAUAUCCCAGUGUGUUGGCGAAAAUGUUAUAUUGCCAGGGGUGGUUUUGAGAUCCUGAUCCUUCUGAUGCACAUUCCAAAUAAUAGUAUUACAGGUUUCACUGAACUUGUGUCUUCUUACUAGCUUAAAAUGCAUGUCCAGGCCUGAUGUGGUCAUGCAUGCCUUUAGUUCCAGCACUUGGCAGGCAGAAGUAGGCAGAUCUCUGAGAAAUCAAGGCCAGCCUUCUCUACACAUUGAGUUCCAGUCCUGCUUGGGACUACAGGGAGACUCUGUCUCAACAACAAUGCAUGUUUAGCUCAUUAACCUAUAUCUUAAAAUGAAAAUA